rnacentral:misc_RNA from 1 species
GAAAUGCGAUAAUUAAUGUGAAUUGCAGAAUUCAGUGAAUCAUCGAGUCUUUGAACGCACAUUGCGCCCCCUGGUAUUCCGGGGGACAUGCCUGUCCGAGCGUCAUUGCUGCCCUCAAGCACGGCUUGUGUGUUGGGCUUCCGUCCCUGGCAACGGGGACGGGCCCAAAAGGCAGUGGCGGCACCAUGUCUGGACCUCGAGCGUAUGGGGCUUUGUCACCCGCUCCCGUAGGUCCAGCUGGCAGCUAGCCUCGCAACCAAUCUUUUUAACCAGGUUGACCUCGGAUCAGGUAGGGAUACCCGCUGAACUUAAGC